GCAAUUUGCAAAGGUCCAGUGUAACAUACCAAAUUUUGAUAUAAAAGUAAAAAUAAAUAAAAAUAGUGUGAGAUACUAUUUUUUUUGGAUUUAGAGAAGUAAAAUAUAAGUCGAAAAUGACUUGUACUGAAAUCGGAACGAAAACAGAAGAUUUGGAAUUUUCUGCGAGAAACGGGACUGAUAUUUUAGCAGAAAAUGCACAGUGUUAGAAAAUUAUGAAAAUUGGAGAAUAUGUCAGAAUUAUUUUUAUGAGGCUAGAUUUAAAGUUUCAUGCCAUUCUGACACCCGAAAAGUGGAAAAUAAAAUCCGACUGCUAUCUGCUAGAGAUUACAGUUCGGUAGAGCUUUCGGUGACCAAAUGUGGUCGAAACUGAAAUAUUAAAAUUUCUUUCGUCAAGUUAAGUAAAACCGAGGCUGACUGCCAAAUUUGAGCUCAAACGAACAUUCAAAAAG
rnacentral:lncRNA from 1 species